rnacentral:lncRNA from 1 species
GCUACAGCUGUUAUUUGAUCACUAGCCUGGGAACCUCCAUAUGACUCAGGAACAGCCCUAAAAAGACAAAAAAAAAAAACAAAAAAAAAAAAAAAAAAAAAAAAAAGAAAAAAAAGAAAGAAGAAAUAAACAUAAAUUUCUUUUUCCUUUUUCUAAUCAUAGCAUUUAGAAGUACUCCCUGGUUUGGGGCAAAUUAGACUAAUACGUCCAUUUCCUCCUCCAAACAGGUAAGUAGGAGAAUAUAAUUGCCUGCAUCUAAGAGUUUCUUGAAUAAAUAAUUCUAAGCAGUCCAAAUGUAAAAAACACACACACACACACACAAAACAGCUAUUUGUAAGGUAGCAAGGGUUUUGUCUGUUGGUUUGUUUUGUUUUUGCUAUUUAGGGCUGCACCUGUGGCAUCUGUAUGUCCCCAGGCUAGGGGCUGAAUUGGAGCUACAGCUGCCAGCCUAUACUACAGCUCACAGCAACACUGGAUCUUUAACCUGCUGAGUGAGGCCAGGGAUCGAACCCACAUCCUCAUGGAUACCAGUUAGCUUUGUAAUCUGCUGAGCCACAACGGGAACUCCCAGAGAGACAGCAAGUUCAACUGCUGCCAGCCCCCAACCGCAGACGAUAUCUUGGAUGGAAGCUUCACACCUUCUGGUUCUUGGAUUUCAAUUUCCCAGAGGAUUUUGUCCCUUGUGCUGUUUAGUCUCUAGUAAUGGAGAGAAGAAUCAUCAGAAUAAAUCUGGGAGGCAUGAUGCUCUGAAUUUUCGAUUUGGCCAUGACUCUGAGCCACUCAUGACCGCAGCCUUUGAGUCAGUCAACUGGUUAAGUUACAGUAACCUGUUUCCUCCAGGCUGGACUCUCCCACGUAAUAAGCAAGCUGCACAGAAGGGCUGCAGGGCGUUAUAUUCAGUUUCCAGCUCAACCAUCACGGCCACAGGCUGGACCGCACAGGCUCCAAUGGCCACUCUGGCAACUCCGCAACCUCCUGCUUUUCUGAGGCUGUGGACGGCAGGAAAUGAAAGCAUCAUCUCCUCGUGCUGGUAAUAGAAACAGCUCUUGUCUCCUUUGAGAGCGGUGAGCCCCCAUUUAGCCCUGGGGUUUUUAAGAGUUCUAUUUACAAAGACUCUCACCAUGGCCCAACUUAAGGAGCAGAAAAUUAUUCCUGCACAUAUUAUGUUAAUUUUGGAAAACUGGAUUUUAGUGUUGCUGCUUCUCCUCUUACUGUGUAGCUCCUUGGGAACGGAUUCAAACUUGCAUUCACUCCCUCAUCUGGUCCUUGGAUAAACUGUAAGUGUCAAAUGAGGGCUGUGGGCCAAUCGGGGGCUGGAUGUUUAGGGAGGAGGCGGAAGUGAUGGUAAACAGAUAAGACAGAGGACUUGACAGUCUGGUGGGGGAGAUAAAAAGGAAGCAGGCAGACAACAACCACGAUAGAUGUGCGAUGUCCUGAACAAGAGGACAAUGAUGGAAUCCAAAUUCCACCCUUUUCUGGCCAUGUCCUGAGCAAGGCAGGUGCUUCCACCUCUAGUAGCGUCUGGAACAGGGUUAGAUGGAGUUGCUGGGUGACUGAGAUCCUGUACGUCAAGUGCCUCGGGGCACAACAGGCAUGCAAUUAACAAGAGGUAUUGGGGUGGGAAGCAUACUUUGCCUCUAGACCCAGGUGGAGAAGUCAUGAAGUUCCUGGGAAGGGUGGGGAAGAAUCCCUCCUCAGUGUUUACCCUGUGAUUCCAGAUGUCAAAGUGGGAGAAGGGCCAGGUGCCCGGCGGAAGCAAAAAUACAAGUCAUGUCAGGAACCACCGAAAGCCAAACCAGGGAGGGGCUAAUUCGCUGCUGAUGAGGGCAGGUGAGGGGCGGCUGGGGCCAGAGCCAGUGGCAUCCUGGGCAGCUGGGCUCUUGGGAUCGGUGGGGCUUCCGGUGGCAGCCAGUGUCCCCGAGCAGGGGACACUACAGGCCAGGAGGUCAAUGGGGAACAGCAACCAAUUCCAAGUCACCCAUUUUCCUGAAUGUGCCAGAAAGCCUCACAUAGACUUCAAGGCAGAGAAGAGGCUUCCUGUGAUUUUUUGGAUCCAGUCUGGAGUUAAGGCCAGCCUCCCAAGGCCCUGCACUGAUUCUGAAGGUCUCCCUGUACCAGCGCUGGCUCCGGUUCCGAGAGCCCCCAUUUUCCCUUUCCUGAAACUGUCCCUGUGUGUGGAGGUCAGUCAAAGUAAAGAAAUCAAUAAAUGCCCACAAUCUGAGACAUAGCGGAAGAUCUUCAAAACCGCAUUUCUUUCGGUCCCCUUUCUUUAC